UACAGAGACUGCAAGCGUUAUUCGGAUUCACUGGGCGUAAAGGGUGCGCAGGCGGCCGUGUGUGUGAGGCGUGAAAGCCUGGAGCUUAACUCCAGAAUUGCACCUCAAACUACACGGCUAGAGCAUUGGAGAGGGUAGCAGAAUUCACGGUGUAGCAGUGAAAUGCGUAGAUAUCCGGAGGAAUACCAAAGGCGAAGGCAGUGUCCUGGAGGGUUAACUGACGCUGAGGCGCGAAAGCUAGGGGAGCGAACAGG
rnacentral:rRNA from 1 species